UGGGGAAUAUUGCACAAUGGAGGGAACUCUGAUGCAGCGACGCCGCGUGAACGAAGAAGGCUUUCGAGUCGUAAAGUUCUUUUAUAUGGGAAGAUAAUGACGGUACUAUAAGAAAAAGCCCCGGCUAACUACGUGCCAGCAGCCGCGGUAAUACGUAGGGGGCUAGCGUUGUCCGGAAUCACUGGGCGUAAAGGGUUCGCAGGCGGAAAUGCAAGUCAGGUGUAAAAGGCAGUAGCUUAACUACUGUAAGCAUUUGAAACUGCAUAUCUUGAGAAGAGUAGAGGUAAGUGGAAUUUUUAGUGUAGCGGUGAAAUGCGUAGAUAUUAAAAAGAAUACCGGUGGCGAAGGCGACUUACUGGGCUCAUUCUGACGCUGAGGAACGAAAGCGUGGGUAGCAAACAGG
rnacentral:rRNA from 1 species